AGUUCAAGCGCGAUUUCCGUAGAGUCCGGAGCGACACUAAAUCGGGCGGUGGAGCUAUCCUGAAUAUUAAAAGGCGUCCGACGCUUGAUCUUAUAUGCUCUAGCCAGUGGUCACGUCAACCGAUAGUUGUGGAACGAUAUAACUCGAACGGAACGAUCAGUGUCCUGCUCUUUGGCUUUAGGAGUGUAUCGUACAAAAGGCCCCAUCCAGGGGCCUUUAAGCGUAUCGACUGUUCCUCCACUUGGCGUCGUGGUCAAAUUGGCGUCACUAUGCACUCAUGGUAUGGCAUCGGGAGAGGCGGCGAAGAAGAGGUAGCCGGUUGGAGUCCUCAAUGCAAAUCUGGCGGUGAUCAAGGGAGAGAGGGGAUCAUCAGCGCUUGCUCCGCCGCGUGUAGGAGAAAUGUCCGCAACAGCGUAAGCCACAUCAGAGGGAGUACGGUGAACGGAGAGUGGACCAGAGAGGGAUCGACAGCAGAAGUGGUGGUUGUAAGGGUGCACCCUAACUGUGAGUACUCACGUGAAGAAGAGAGAACAAAAUGUAAACCGAUUAGGGAAGAUGAAACAUAGGAAAGCGGUAAUAGGUAGGAGGUGAGGAAAGGAAUGAGGUUGUAUGUAGUAAGGUUGAGGCCAAAAUAUACGUAGAUGAAAACAA